UCCCUGGUGGUCCAAUGGUUAGGAUGCUGUGCUGCCAAUGCAGGGAUGCAGGGGACACAGGUUUGAUCCCUGGUUGGGGAA
rnacentral:tRNA from 1 species